UGUCAAAGUUCAGGAUUAUUCCUGAAAUUAGGAUUUUGGCCCUUAAGGACCAAUUUUGAUAUUGAUAUAAAUCAGAGGAUUUUUUCUGGAAUUUUAAGAUUAUUGUCACAAAAUGUUAUCUUAAACACAUAUAAUUUUACUUUGACAUAUUGUUUACAAAGUUAUAAACACUAGUUAACAAAGUUACAUGAAUUAUUAACCCUUUUUUGCUCUGGCCCCCAAACGAUAGGCUUAUUUUCAGGAUUUUAGAUUUUGGCCAAUUGACACCCCUGUAUUACUCGGCACAUUUGAGCCGCUAUCCUUGAAAGCACAGCUUAAUGCUUGUGAGUAAAGUAUCGUCUCUGAUUAGCCUGUGAAGUCUGCACAGGCUUAUCAGGGAUGACCCUUCCAACUUUUUGGGAUUUUUUGUUCAAAUAAAGUCUCUUUGCAAAAAUCCAGUGUAGGUGGACAGUGUCGUUCCUGCUUAACCUGUGCACAUUUCACAGAAAAAUCUGGGAGGAAACUUUACACACCCGCAUUAAAACUUGUUUUCCCAGAGCAAAGCACAUUUAUAGUUCUGGCAAUCUGCCUCUAAAGGAAAAAGCAAAGUUGAUUGUAUUUGAUUUGAUUGUAUUUGUAUUUGAUUGUAUUAAGCGUUUACAUAAUAUGUCAUGUUAUUUGAAAUUUUAUGUAGAACACUGAAACCAUUAUUCUGGGGGAAAUUUACAAUUGACUUUGUAUACAAAUGUGAUCAAUUUAUGCGGAAUAUGCCAGAAAAUGAAAACCAAUAGCUUUGGUAACAGAACUAGGAAACAAUAAUGUGCAAAAAGGCAAAGAGUGUUUCAGUAAAAUGAAAUGAUUUAUUAUUUUUCCACAAACUUGAAAGAUUUAAACAAAACUGCAAUUUAAAUAUAUUGAAUAACCGAUAAAUAUUGGAAUGUUAACAUUUAAAUCUUUCUUCCAGAUCUUAAAUGAUAAUUUCAAAAUCAUGAAUGUCUGUUUCAGUUUAGUUUAUUUUUAUUUAUUUGUACUUGUGGUGGAGAUGAAAUGGCAAUCAUAUGCAUGUCUCCGACAGAAUCUAAAAACAUUUUUUUUUAUGUGCAUGCCAUGUGCAAACUUGAGCAGUUGGUAUGUGUUGAUUUUGAAAUUUACUUUCUCCAGCUGAAAUUAAAACUGCACGGAUAAACAGUCUGGAGAUCAUUAAUAGAUUUAACAGCAUAAUGUCUGAGUUUGAGCAGAAAGCCAUUAAAAUACCUGCAUUGCCAGCAGUUUGUUAUUGCUUCAAGUUCAUAUAGAUAUAAUUACUGUUGGAGCGGUUAAUUAUACUAAAAAAACUUAAUUAAAAAAACUGAAUUGGCAUGUGUAUUUACAGGUAGAUAAUUAUGAUCAAUUAAUUAUUGACUUUAUUUGUAAAGUUAGCGUUUAAAUUGAAGUGAUUAAUUGAUUUUGUUUUGGCUAAACCAAAAACAUUGUUGAGAAUUUAUGCUGGUGUUAAUGGCUGUUACCAUGAGGAUGGUGAUACAAAUAUUGUUAUUAUGGUAACAAACAUUUUUUUAAUAAUGAAGAUGAUGAAGUUGAUGAUGAUUAUGAUGAUAUUUAAGAUGAUGAUGAUGUUUUUAACUAGUGACCGUGUGAUGUCCGGCGUCCGUAUGUGCGUUUGUGUUUGUGUGUGUGUGCGUCCGUCCGUCAACAAUUUGUUUGUGUAGACAGUAGAGUUCACAGUUUUCAUCCAAUCUUUAUGAAAUUUGGUCAGAAUGUUUAUCUUGAUGAAAUCUGGGUUGGGAUUGUAUUUGGGUCAUCUGGGGUCAAAAACUAGGUCACUAGGUCAAAAACUAGGUCAAAUAAUAGAAAAAUCUUGUGUAGACAGUAGAGGUCACAGUUUUCAUCUAAUCUUUAUGAAAUUUGGUCAGAAUGUUUAUCUUAAUGAAAUCUGGGUUGGGAUUGUAUUUGGGUCAUCUGGGGUUAAAAACUAGGUCACUAGGUCAAAAACUAGGUCAAAUAAUAGAAAAACAUUGUGUGGACAGUAGAGGUCACAGUUUUCAUCCAAUCUUUAUGAAAUUUGGUCAGAAUGUUAAUCUUGAUAAAAUCUGGGUUGGGAUUGUAUUUGGGUUAUCUGGGGUCAAAAACUAGGUCACUAGGUCAAAAACUAGGUCAAAUAAUAGAAAAGCCUUGUGUAGACAAUACAGGUUGCAGAUUUCAUCCAAACUUUAUGAAAUUUGUACAGAAUGUUUAUCUUGAUAAAAUCUGGUUUGGGAUUGUAUUUGGGUCAUCUGAGGCCAAAAACUAGGUCACUAGGUCAAAUAAUAGAAUAAACGUCAACAAUUUGUUUGUGUAGACAGUAGAGGUCACAGUUUUCAUCCAAUCUUUAUGAAAUUUGGUCAGAAUGUUUAUCUUGAUGAAAUCAGAGUUGGGAUUGUAUGUGGGUCAUCCAGGGUCAAAAAUUAGGUCACUAGGUCAAAAACUAGGUCACUAGGUCAAAAGCUAGGUCACUAGGUCAAAUAAUAGAAAAACAUUGUAUAGACAAUAGAGGUCACAGUUUUCAUCCAAUCUUUAUGAAAUUUGGUCAGAAUGUUUAUCUUGGUGAAAUCUGGGUUGGGAUUGCAUUUGGGUCAUCUGGGAUCAAAAACUAGGUCACUAGGUCAAAUAAUAGAAAAACCUUGUGUAGACAAUAGAGGUUAGUUUUCAUCCAAUCUUUAUAAAAUUUGAUCAGAAUGUUUAUCUUGAUGAAAUCUGGGUUGGGAUUGUAUUUGGGUCACCUGGGGUCAAAAACUAGGUCACUAGAUCAAAUAAUAGAAAAACCUUGUGUAAACAAUAGAGGUCACAGUGUUCAUCUAAUCUUUAUGAAAUUUGGUCAAAAUUGUUUAUCUUGAUGAAAUCUGGGUUGGGAUUGUAUUUGGUUAGUCAGGUGAGCGAUUCAGGGCCAUCAUGGCCCUCUUGUUUAAGAUGAUGAUGAUGCUAAAGAUUAUGAUGAUGAUGGUAAAGAUUACAAAAAUUAAAACUGCAAUCAUUAUGCAAAGGUGAUAAAUCGCCUCAUCUGAUUGCACUUAUUAUGAGCAAAUGCCGUUUUUUGGUAAGUGAAAUAAUCAAAUACGCAAUCUG